CCCCCUCAGCGCGGCGGGGUUGCGGCGCCCCAGCCCGGUCUCCUCUGCCCCGGCUGGAAAUAAAGGCCGAUCGCGCCUGCGGGAAGCAGGAUAAAAGCCGUCUGCGGGCUUGUUUUACCUCGCUCUGCAGGCACCUGUGAAGCACAGCACAACCCACACAUAAUGGAGCACAGCGGGGUAAGGGGAGGCCAACAGGAGCAGCAGUCCAAAUCACGGACAGAUAAAAGGGAGGCAGCGCAAGAGGAGGCUCUCUUGGAAUGUGGUCUUUACACAACACGCCAUUUGGUUACCUGAACUGGGUUACCAGCAGAAAGGAGUUGUUCCAGGAUGGGCUGUGAAACCUUUUUUCCUGAUUGUACUAUCUGACUGUUCAAUAAACUCCUCUCACAAAGAAAACUCCCAAAAUUUCAAGUACAUCACUGCAUGUCAUCCUCCAAAUGAAGACACGACAGUGCAUGACUGUAUACUACCAAUUAAAUUUUACAAUCACUAUGCACCUAA